rnacentral:rRNA from 1 species
UUUAAUUCGACGCAACGCGAAGAACCUUACCCAGGCUCGAACGGCAGAUGACAUCCUACGAAAGUAGGCUCCCGCAAGGGCAUCUGUCGAGGUGCUGCAUGGCUGUCGUCAGCUCGUGUCGUGAGAUGUUGGGUUAAGUCCCGCAACGAGCGCAACCCUUGUCUUCUGUUGCCAUCGGGUCAAGCCGGGCACUCUGAAGAGACUGCCGGUGACAAACCGGAGGAAGGUGGGGAUGACGUCAAGUCAGCAUGGCCUUUAUGUCUGGGGCAACACACGUGCUACAAUGGCCGGUACAAACCGUCGCGAGCCCGCGAGGGGGAGCUAAUCGGAGAAAGCCGGUCUCAGUUCGGAUUGUAGGCUGCAACUCGCCUGCAUGAAGUUGGAAUCGCUAGUAAUCGCGGAUCAGCACGCCG